GCAAACUUGGUCAUUUAGAGGAAGUAAAAGUCGUAACAAGGUCUCCGUUGGUGAACCAGCGGAGGGAUCAUUACUGAGUCACGUGCUCAAAUAACCCUUCUGUGGACUUGUUCUAAACCGUUGCCUCGGCGGGCGGUCCCGCGUCAACCCCACGUGGGUGGGCGGGGGACCUGACAGUUUCCGGUACGCCUAAAGGCGUCUGGCGCCAGCCGCUGGCCCUAAAUUAAACUCUUGUAACAUUACCUUCUGAGUUAUUAUACAAAAAAUAAGUCAAAACUUUCAACAACGGAUCUCUUGGCUCUGGCAUCGAUGAAGAACGCAGC
rnacentral:misc_RNA from 1 species